AAUGAACGCUGGCGGCAGGCCUAACACAUGCGAGUCGAGCGGAUGAAGGGAGCUUGCUCCUGGAUUCAGCGGCGGACGGGUGAGUAAUGCCUAGGAAUCUGCCUGGACGUGGGGGAUAACGUCCGGAAACGGGCGCUAAUACCGCAUACGACCUGAGGGAGAAAGUGGGGGAUCUUCGGACCUCACGCUAUCAGAUGAGCCUAGGUCGGAUUAGCUAGUUGGUGGGGUAAAGGCCUACCAAGGCGACGAUCCGUAACUGGUCUGAGAGGAUGAUCCGCCACACUGGAACUGAGACACGGUCCAGACUCCUACGGGAGGCAGCAGUGGGGAAUAUUGGACAAUGGGCGAAAGCCUGAUCCAGCCAUGCCGCGUGUGUGAAGAAGGUCUUCGGAUUGUAUAGCACUUUAAGUUGGGAGGAAUGGCAGUAAGUUAAUACCUUGCUGUUUUUACGUUACCAACAGAAUAAGCACCGGCCAACUUCCUG
rnacentral:rRNA from 1 species